GACGAACGCUGGCGGCGUGCCUAAUACAUGCAAGUCGGACGGGGUAUUUGAGCAAUCGGAUACCUAGUGGCGAACGGGUGAGUAACGCGUUGGUGACCUGCCCCGAAGCGGGGGGACAACAGUUCGAAAGGGCUGCUAAUACCCCAUGAUGUUGCUGGAGAUUAGAAACCGGUAACGAAAGGAGAGAUUCGCUUCGGGAGGGGCCUGCGUCCCAUCAGCUAGUUGGUAGGGUAAAGGCCUACCAAGGCGUGGACGGGUAGGGGACCUGAGAGGGUGGCCCCCCACAAUGGAACUGAAACACGGUCCAUACACCUACGGGUGGCAGCAGUAGGGAAUAUUGCACCAUGGGCGGAAGCCUGAUGCAGCAACGCCGCGUGAGUGAAGAAGGCCUUCGGGUCGUAAAACUCUUUUCAAGGGGAAGAGGAAGGACGGUACCUUGGAAUAAGCAUCGGCUAACUACGUGCCAGCAGCCGCGGUAAGCUGUAGU
rnacentral:rRNA from 1 species